UACGUAGGGGGCAAGCGUUGUCCGGAUUUAUUGGGCGUAAAGAGCUCGUAGGUGGUUCGGUAAGUCGGAUGUGAAAUCUCCAGGCUCAACCUGGAGGGGUCAUUCGAUACUGCCGUGACUAGAGGUCGGUAGGGGAGUGUGGAAUUCCUGGUGGAGCGGUGAAAUGCGCAGAUAUCAGGAGGAACACCCGUAGCGAAGGCGGCACUCUGGGCCGAUACUGACACUGAGGAGCGAAAGCGUGGGGAUCAAACAGG
rnacentral:rRNA from 1 species